UAACGUCGAAGUUAAAGGGCUCUGAUUAGAGAGAGAAUUAGAGAGAGCAGGAAGACUUUCAAAAGAAGUCCGAGAGAGAGAGCGAGACUUGGUUGCUACAUGGUCUCUUGCUGCUGAUCUGAUUGUUUAGAGGGGUUCUGUUUCCCCGCUGAUGUUCUUAAAUCAAGACUGUGGCACAUAUCACAAGUACAGAUCAAAUGCCAUCAUUAAAAAUGACGACCAAGUCAAGCUCGGGCUGUUUAAGAGAAAAAAGCGGUCUCCAUGUAUGCCAAAAGUCGAGCAUGAUUUCCAAGAAUUCUUGCUCUCAUGUCAGGAUAUCUCGACAAGCAACAGACUUUCAGACUUCUAUUCAGGAUGUUUCUUUGUGCAAUAAAGAACAUGCUCAGGACAUUGGAGGUGAUGAAGUUAUUGACUGUAAUGAAUUGCUCAAUGGUGAUAAUCUUCAGUUUCAGAAGCAGCUUUCGCCUUUAACCGAUUCUGCAACUGCUGAGAGAAUGGAAUCUGCAAUAGCUACGUGCUCAUCAAGCAUGGAGACGAUUUUCUCACCAUUACCAGACUCGAUCGAUAAUCAAAGUGAACCAAAUGUUUACAGUGAUGCAGGGACCAAUGGCACUCUUGAUGUGCCACGGUUGGGAGCCGAAGAUAGUGAUAGCAGCAGAAGCUCAUGUGAAUUUCAAACUUGCAGUGUAUCAGAUUUCUACAUCUCUGACAUGAUUGUUGCAGGCUUACCCAUUGAAGGCAACUCAGUGUACGAUGAUGAUAUUACAGAGACUACUUCCUUUCCUGAUUACAGAUGUGAUGAGCCACGUUUGUUGUUUGAUAUGACGGAGGAAUACAUGAUAUUGCCUUUCCUUGAGGAUGCUAAGGAGACUAGCAAUGGCCAUGAUGGUAGAACAUGUGAAGAAGCCAUCAUAGAUUCAAAUGAUUCGAGCUUAUAUUUAGCAAUCAGUCAGAUGAGAUCCUGCAACCAGGAAUCUGAUGUUAGUCCCGACCCUGACUCGGAUCAAGCAGAGUGCUUUGAUCCACGCAUGUUUUUCAGAAAUUUUCCAGACCUACCAGACGUGGCCACAAAUUGGCCCACCACACUGACAAAGGAAACACUGAAAACCAAACCUAUAACUCUGGUACUUGAUUUGGAUGAAACACUUGUACACUCUACAUUGGAGCAUCGUGAUGAUGCAGACUUCACCUUUCCUGUUUUCUUCAACUUGAAAGAGCAUAUUGUGUAUGUAAAACAGAGGCCUUAUCUACAGACAUUCCUGGAGAGAGUUGCAGAGAUGUUUGAAAUUGUAAUUUUUACAGCCAGUCAAAGCAUUUAUGCAAAACAGCUUCUGGAUAUACUGGAUCCGGACGGAAAAUUUAUUUCACGUCGGGCUUAUCGUGAAUCAUGCGUUUUUUCGGAUGGAAGUUACACUAAGGACUUGACAGUUUUAGGUGUCGAUCUUGCCAAAGUUGCCAUAAUUGACAACUCUCCACAGGUUUUCCAGUUGCAAGUGAAUAAUGGGAUUCCCAUUAAGAGUUGGUUUGAUGACCCAUCAGACUCUGCCCUAAUUUCAUUACUUCCCUUCCUAGAGACCUUGGUUGAUGCCGAUGAUGUUCGUCCUAUCAUUGCCAAGAGAUUCGGUAACAAGGAAUAAGAGCCUCUUGUUCUUUCCCUUUUACUCAAUAUAACAGUUCCUAUUCCUUGUCAUCUCGUUUUAAGAAAAAAAUCAUCAUUCGAUUUAGAUGCUCAAUAUUCAUUCCCCUCCGAGCUCUUGAUACAAUGAUUUACACAAUAAAAAUAUCUUUAGUCCUGUGUUGCGUCAUAUUUCACAGCUCGUUCCUUCUCUGCCAUCUUCUCUCUCUCAACAAUCUCAUCGAGUGUUCAAUCUAAUUUUGGGGCAAAAGGUCAUUUGAAGAUCUAUAAUGAAUCGGCUGCGAAUUGCAAUAACAGUAGGUAUGCAAUAUUGAAUUGCUAUUUAUGUCUCUUGAAUUUUUAUUUUUAUUUUUUCAAAACAGCUAUUCUUCCGGCACAUUACUGUUUACUUUAGAUGUUUAGCUUUUUCCUCUCUUCUUCCUGGGGCAUUCCUUGUUUGUUCCUUGUUCAGUGUCAUGGAUAUGUAACAUAAUAGUAAAGGAAUAUUCAGCUGAUGCUGUUUUAUUAGACAUUUUUGAAUCAAAUGGAGGAAAGAUUGGUGUUGGUCUGUGA